rnacentral:rRNA from 1 species
UACGUAGGGUGCGAGCGUUGUCCGGAAUUAUUGGGCGUAAAGAGCUCGUAGGCGGUUUGUCGCGUCUGCUGUGAAAACUCGGGGCUUAACCCCGGGCCUGCAGUGGGUACGGGCAGACUAGAGUGCGGUAGGGGAGACUGGAAUUCCUGGUGUAGCGGUGAAAUGCGCAGAUAUCAGGAGGAACACCGGUGGCGAAGGCGGGUCUCUGGGCCGAUACUGACGCUGAGGAGCGAAAGCGUGGGGAGCAAACAGG